UGGGGAAUAUUGGACAAUGGGGGCAACCCUGAUCCAGCCAUGCCGCGUGAGUGAUGAAGGCCUUCGGGUUGUAAAGCUCUUUUGGCGGGGACGAUGAUGACGGUACCCGCAGAAUAAGCCCCGGCUAACUUCGUGCCAGCAGCCGCGGUAAGACGAAGGGGGCUAGCGUUGUUCGGAAUUACUGGGCGUAAAGCGAGUGUAGGCGGUUGCCGUAGUCAGGUGUGAAAGCCUUGAGCUCAACUCAAGAAAUGCACUUGAUACUGGGUGACUAGAGGACCGGAGAGGAUAGUGGAAUUCCCAGUGUAGUGGUGAAAUACGUAGAGAUUGGGAAGAACACCAGUGGCGAAGGCGGCUAUCUGGACGGUUACUGACGCUAAGACUCGAAAGCGUGGGGAGCAAACAGGAUUAGAUACCCUGGUAGUCCACGCCGUAAACGAUGGGUGCUAGACGUUGGCGAGCUUGCUCGUCAGUGUCGCAGCUAACGCGUUAAGCACCCCGCCUGGGGAGUACGGCCGCAAGGGUUGAAACUCAAAGGAAUUGACGGGGGUCAUAGCUGUUUUCCU
rnacentral:rRNA from 1 species